rnacentral:rRNA from 1 species
GCCAGCCCGCUCAGAAACUUAAAGGAAUUGACGGGGGCCCGCACAAGCGGAGGAACAUGUGGUUUAAUUCGAUGAUACGCGAGGAACCUUACCCGGGCUUGAAAUGCAUCUGACCGGCCUUGAAAGAGGCACUCCCUUCGGGGCAGAUGUGUAGGUGCUGCAUGGUUGUCGUCAGCUCGUGCCGUGAGGUGUCGGCUUAAGUGCCAUAACGAGCGCAACCCUCAUCAUUAGUUACCAUCAGGUAAGGCUGGGGACUCUAAUGAGACUGCCAUCGUAAGAUGUGAGGAAGGUGGGGAUGACGUCAAAUCAGCACGGCCCUUACGUCCGGGGCGACACACGUGUUACAAUGGGUGGUACAAAGGGCAGCUACCUGGCGACAGGAUGCUAAUCUCGAAAACCGCUCUCAGUUCGGAUCGGAGUCUGCAACUCGACUCCGUGAAGCUGGAUUCGCUAGUAAUCGCGCAUCAGCCACGGCGCGGUGAAUACGUUCCCGGGCCUU